rnacentral:rRNA from 1 species
UACGGGGGGGGCAAGCGUUGUUCGGAAUUACUGGGCGUAAAGGGCGCGUAGGCGGCCUGCUAAGUCGGACGUGAAAUCCCUCGGCUCAACCGAGGAACUGCGUCCAAGACUGGGAGGCUUGAAUCCGGGAGAGGGAUGCGGAAUUCCAGGUGUAGCGGUGAAAUGCGUAGAUAUCUGGAGGAACACCGGUGGCGAAGGCGGCAUCCUGGACCGGUAUUGACACUGAGGCGCGAAAGCCAGGGGAGCAAACGGG